rnacentral:snRNA from 1 species
AUGUAUUACAGCUCUUUUAGAAUUUUUCUAGCAGAUUUUCCUCU